rnacentral:rRNA from 1 species
CAGUCGCCGCGGGAAUACGAAGGGUGCAAGCGUUAAUCGGAAUUACUGGGCGUAAAGCGUGCGUAGGCGGUGAGUUAAGUCUGCUGUGAAAUCCCCGGGCUCAACCUGGGAAUGGCAGUGGAUACUGGCUCGCUAGAGUGUGUCAGAGGAUGGUGGAAUUCCCGGUGUAGCGGUGAAAUGCGUAGAGAUCGGGAGGAACAUCAGUGGCGAAGGCGGCCAUCUGGGACAACACUGACGCUGAGGCACGAGAGCGUGGGGAGCAAACAGGAUUAGAUACCCGCGUAGUCCCUGUCUCUUAUAA